GAACUUCAAUGAAUGUACCACCCAAGAAUUUCUUCCAUUAUAGGGUGAAAGAUGGGGCACAAAACUCCCGAAAUCAGCCUGGCUGGAUACCCUGGAUGCCUAUAUCAUCACCAACAGGGGCUGCUGUCAACAAUAUUUGGUCAUCAGAGACCUGUGAAAUGGGAGUCAAAGUCCAUGCUAUGCUGGGUUGUUGUACAGAAAGCAUUUUAUAAACCUCAAAGCAUAGAUGAACAUGGGAUAGGAACUGGCACUGGCAUAGGGAACUCCCAGGAAACUCCUUCUAGCAAUUCAGUUUCUUGUGCACCACCUGAUGUUUCUAUGGAUUCCAAAGCCUUCAAGAGAGUACUAAAGCUACAAUUUCUACCAAGUGGAUUCUGA
rnacentral:lncRNA from 1 species